rnacentral:rRNA from 1 species
UACGAAGGGGGCUAGCGUUGCUCGGAAUCACUGGGCGUAAAGGGUGCGUAGGCGGGUCUUUAAGUCAGGGGUGAAAUCCUGGAGCUCAACUCCCAGAACUGCCUUUGAUACUGAAGAUCUUGAGUUCGGGAGAGGUGAGUGGAACUGCGAGUGUAGAGGUGAAAUUCGUAGAUAUUCGCAAGAACACCAGUGGCGAAGGCGGCUCACUGGCCCGGUACUGACGCUGAGGUGCGAAAGCGUGGGGAGCAAAGCAGG